rnacentral:rRNA from 1 species
GCUACGGGGAGCAGCAGUGAGGAAUAUUGGUCAAUGGGCGCGAGCCUGAACCAGCAAAGUAGCGUGAAGGAUGACUGCCCUACGGGUUGUAAACUUCUUUUAUAAAGGAAUAAAGUGAGGCAUGUGUGCCUUUUUGUAUGUACUUUAUGAAUAAGGCACGGCUAACUCCGUACCAGCAGCCGCGGUAAUACGGAGGAUCCGAGCGUUAUCCGGAUUUAUUGGGUUUAAAGGGUGGGUAGAUGGGUUGUUAAGUCAGUUGUGAAAGUUUGCGGCUAAACCGUAAAAUUGCAAUUGAUACUGGCAGUCUUGAGUACAGUUGAGGUAGGCGGAAUUCUUGGUGUAGCGGUGAAAUGCUUAGAUAUCACGAGGAACUCCGAUUGCGAAGGCAGCUUACUAAACUGCCACUGACAUUGAUGCUCGAAAGUGUGGGUAUCAAACAGGAUUAGAUACCCUAGUAGUC